CUGAGCUGCUGGAAGGGCAAGCUGAUGUCAUACGGAGGCCGGUUAAUUCUCGUUAAUUCGGUUCUCACGAGUAUGCCCAUGUUUCUCUUGUCCUUUUUCGAGGUACCAGUUGGAGUUCGGAAAAGGCUUGACUUCUAUCGAUCAUGUUUCUUCUGGCAGAGUGAUGAACUAAAGCGAAAAUACAGACUCACUAAAUGGGAUAUUAUUUGUCGACCGAAAGACCAAGGGGGUCUAGGUAUUGAAAAUCUUGAGGUGAAGAACAGAUGUCUUCUCAGCAAGUGGAUGUAUAAGCUAUCUGUAGAGACGGAGGCCACAUGGGCGCAGAUCUGCGUAAUA
rnacentral:rRNA from 1 species